UACGAAGGGGGCUAGCGUUGCUCGGAAUCACUGGGCGUAAAGGGUGCGUAGGCGGGUCUUUAAGUCAGGGGUGAAAUCCUGGAGCUCAACUCCAGAACUGCCUUUGAUACUGAAGAUCUUGAGUUCGGGAGAGGUGAGUGGAACUGCGAGUGUAGAGGUGAAAUUCGUAGAUAUUCGCAAGAACACCAGUGGCGAAGGCGGCUCACUGGCCCGAUACUGACGCUGAGGCACGAAAGCGUGGGGAGCAAAAAGG
rnacentral:rRNA from 1 species